ensembl:lncRNA
UAUACUAUAGGUAUUUAUGUGUAUUUUAUUAGCCAUCUCACAAGCAAAAUUGCAACUCUGCUUUUUUCAGUUAGCGCUAAGGAGGAGGACCUGCAAGGCUUUCAGUCCCUACAAACCGAGAGCGCAAACUUUAUAACAACUAUGCCAUCAGAUGAGCAAAACAGCUCCAGUGACAACGGUGGAAAAGUUUCCACUGAAAGCCCUGCUCGCUUGACUAUGGUUGUUAUCGGUUCUCCAGGGACAGAUUUGUUCCAUACGCCACAUGAGAAGCAGCACUCAAGUACAGUAAAUGCAACCACAACCACUGAUAAAGAUGCAAUUACCUUAAAUGGGCUGAGCUUUGUCUUAGCUUAUGGUACAGGUUCACGUUCCACGGAUGAGGACAGCACGGCAGCGAGGCCGUUACAGUCUGAUGGAGACCUCUCAUUGAUCUCCAAUGAUGAGGAGAGGCUACAUCCCUCAGCUGAGGCUGAAUUUAAGUCAAUGAUGAAUGACACUAUGGCGCCUGCUGCUCAUCUGUCCAGAGGCAGGGGAAAGAUGUCUGCUUUUUUUCAUGCUUCGCUGGAAAGCGAGAAUCAAAGAGUCUUGGAGUCUAUUACUCCUUCGCCUGCAAAUGGCAUUCCCAUGGUAUCGGCCACUGAUCCAGCAGUAAUUGAUAACCUUGGGGAGUCAAACAAGAGCGUGGAAAGAUGGGGCGAAAACAAGACUGAAAAUUGGACUCUGGAGUCUUUUGAAACUGAUGAUCCUCUGAAUCCUACUGAAGAGGUUUCUUUGAAUAAGAACCAUUCAACCAUUAUGCAUUUUACAGUUUUGCAGGGUACAGGGCUUUUAACCACUGAGCUUGGUCAAAAUCCAAGAAAUGGAUCUGAGCAUGAGCCAAAAGAACAGAGGAAUCUGCUUUCACCAAGUUCACUCAUCCUUGAUACUCCAUUACAAGUGAAAUCAGCCAGCCAAGUAAUAGUUAAUAAAAUGGCAGAAAGCAACAAAAAUCCCAGCACCAAUGGACCAAAACCCUUCAGGGUGUCACUAAAGCAACCAGACUCAAUGUUUUUAUUCUCCGCUUCAAAGCUGACCCCUGCAAAGAAUCCAGACGCAACCACGCUGAAUUCUUUUUCAAACAUGGUAACAGCUGCUGGCAAAAUGCACGUGACAAAACAAUUUGUGGCCUCACAGUUGAUAUCUGAUUCCAUGCAUAGAAUUGUCUCAGCGAGGGAUGGACUAGAAAGCAAAUCAGUUUUUCACACCAAAUCAAGUAAAGAGCGUCAAAUUAAACCAACGUUCCAAACUUUACCAACAAGUUUCCUUCAUCGUCUGAAUAAAAGUGACCUUUCUUUGGCCGCUCAAAACUUUUCAUCUUUACUCAAAAUGUCACAUCUUUGUACCAAAGGAGCCAGAACAUCUAAUAUCUCUGUGAUGGAGAAACGUAACAGAAUGGAUGAUUUUCCAGUUUGGCUGAGUGAAUUGAUGGCCUUUAGUACUGCCUCAUUAACCAACGCUGAGGAAGCAACUACUGCGAGUGAUAAGCGAAUGUUCUUGAAACAGACUCAAAGUUCACUUGCUGCUCCUGGAACCCUUUCAAUUCAAGAAGAUGCUUCAAAACAGCUCGAUCAGUUUGACGAAUUAUCUACAGUGGCGCCUCUUCCACCUCUGACAAAGCUUAAGAAUGUGUUUCAUGUCUUCAAAGUGAACAAUCAUCAGCCUCGACAGUCUCUAAAUGAUUUUCCCUCAGAGAGAUUAAAGCCUUUUGUAUCGCUUCAAACUCAACCGAUUCCACCUUUGUUUACAUAUGCAACUGUGAGGAGAUUCACAAAUAUGGAAGACUUUACCAAACUUGACUCUAUGAACCAAAACCAAAAAGCCCCAUCUAACAUAUCGGAGAGGCCAAACAUGAUCUCAAACAUAUUAACAAGACACGAAAUAAUAAACACAACCACAAUCAACAAAAACAUAUCACAUUUUAGCAUUCCCCCAACACAUCAGACUCCUAACAACAACAUAUCCACAACAAAUUCCUUUAUUACAACAACUAUGUUUUUAAAACCCCGGGAGUCUUUUGCCAAAAUCUCUCAUGCAGUCCCACAAAAGAAGUCCUUUCUGCUAACAACAACCUUCAGUAAAUCACAAAAUACAGUGACAACAGUUUUAUCCAUCUCUAAGAAACGAUAUAGUGAGUAUGACUUUAUAAAUCACUCGAUGACAACUGGAAACAUUGGAUUGCCAUUAGAUGACAAACAACAUAAAAACCCAAGAGGGACUGUGACGCUUUUUUUGGGCAGCUACACAGUUAGCAGUAUCCCAUCAGUCCAGCAGCUCGUUGAAGCUCACCCUGGAGAGAAAUUCCUCACAGAAACACCGCAAUCACAAUCUGGACUUCAGAUUGAGUCAAACUUAAAGAAGAGAGAUGACACAGUUAAACCAACAACUCUGAAACACCAUGAUCAGAGCAGUCAUUCCGUUGCUGGCAUGAAUCAAACCUUGUUCACGUCAAUUUCGCACAGGAUUGUUUCAAAUCCAAUUCACACUACUGUUUCCCCUGUUGCUCUGUCAAAUACAGAGUUUAAACAACAUUUGACCUUCUCUGCUCUUCCGUCAGUAUCUAUUGAGCAGACAGUGGCGCAGAUAAAUGGACUUGACAAUAACAAAGAUUCGCUUCAUAUGUUUGUCAAUUUAUCAGAAGUUAAAGAGCAUCCUAAGAACAUGACAACCAGCCCAAUUUCUGCCAUCAGUAGGCACACAAUAGAAGGGGCCUUGAACACGUCACCCCUUGAAUCAUUCACUGGAACAACUUCACCAACUUUCCCUUUGGAUCUUAUACAUAUGCAGAAUGUGUUGCAUAAAGAGCAUGUGACUUUAGCUGAAAACCAGACUGAAUUUUUCUCAACAGUGAAUGAGCAUUCACAAACGACGCAAUCAAACUUUCCUUCUGAUGAAAUGUCCAGUUCAGACGCAACAGAAGAUGUACAAAAACACCUUGGGCGGGCUUCGCUGUCUGCUGUUACUGGGGAAAAGUUCUCUCCUAUUGUCCACACGGAUUUGAGUUUCUCAAGUACAGAGACACAAUCACUCCCCAAAGGUUCAUUACAGUCCAGGGAAGGGAGUGAAGAUAUUUCACAUGGCACUGGUCCAUUUGCUGGAAGUGACUCAGGGGUAUCUGCUAAGUUCAUGUCAGAACUGCCAGUGAUAAACAGGAAGAGGAGGAUUAUAUCACCCGAUUCUCUCAGUGGUCUGGCGCAAAUCUCAGAUGAUAUCUGCGGCACUGGCAACUACACAGCAGAGAUGAGUCUGAACUUGGAGAGAGAUAUCAUGCCCGGAGAUCUCAUCCCUGCCCUCGGAAACCUACGCGUCAUCAUCAGCCUCAAAACAAAUAACAGCCAGGUGAACCUAGAGAUAAAAUCCUGCUGCCUCUCGCCCACCGUCAGACUUGAUGAAUUUAACACCACCUGCUGCAUUUUUUCCAGGCUGCCUAUAGACCCUCAUGGCAUUAGACUGCUUCCUAGCGUCCUGUCAAAGAGCGCCAGCUUCACCAUCAGUCUCUUCCAGAUGAUCAAUUACUCCACCGCUUACCUGCACUGUGACCUGAGCGUGUGUUUGAGGAACCGUUCUGAGUGCGAGAAGCAGUGCGUUCAGAGUCGAAAUGCGCAUCUCAGAGAGGAAGCAGGGGCCAUCUUCAGCAGCACGGGAAACCGCAUUUCUUUCGGCCCUGUUUUGAAAGAAGCAGACAGUUCAUCAUUCUCUGAAACAGCAGAUGACACUGAAGCCGUGGUGGUGAUUAUCAGCUCAGUGGCCAGCUGUUUGCUGGCAUGUUUGGCUCUCUUUCUUGUCUGGAUGGCAAACAGACGUUGUCUGCAAAGGUCUGCCUACUGCUGGUCCAGGGCCCUUUGUGAAUGCUAACAGAACAGAGAUCACUGCAAAUCAGUCAACUGGACUGAAAUCUGCAUUGAGCAUUCAAUCAUUAUCUGACAGUUUUUGAAUUGCUCAUCAUUAUGUUUAGUUAGCUGCACUGAGAAACUGAUAAAACUAUUAACAUUGCUAAAAGAGGCCACAAGUGCUCUUGAAUACGUGAUUAUUCUAUCAUAUUGCCAUGCUUUGAAUGUUACAAUAGAGAUGUAAAAAAUGCAAGCCAGUCAGCCAUUUUAUUGUGGACACAUACACGCUAAGUAAAUGUGCAUAUAAUGUAAACAGACAGCCGUUUUAAGGGAUAAUUAUUACAACAGCUUGCCCUCAUGUCGUUCCAAAACAUUUCUUUCCUCUGCGUAAAGGUUCAGUCAGAUUUACCUUGGUUCCACAAAUUUUCACCCCAAAAAAAAAAUUCUAUAAUUUCUGUGAAUUCCAUGUGAGGGCAAAGGUUUUCACAAUGGGUUCAAGUUGGUCACACAGACUGCCUAAAAGUAAGCUUGGUUUGAAAGUGACUUCUGUGUGAAUUGUACUGGAUACAUUCCCACACUACUGACGAUGUACUGUGACUGUAGACACUACAGGCAAAAACACUAAUGUCAUGCAUGUCAAUUUUGAGAUUUUGGUAUUUUUCAAAAUAUCU